GUGCUUGCUUCAGCAGCAUAUAUACUAAAAUUGGAAUGAUACAGAGAAGAUUAGCAUGGCCCCUGCAUGAGGAUGACACACAAAUUUGUGAAGUGUUUCAUAUUUAA
ensembl:snRNA U6 U6 spliceosomal RNA